rnacentral:rRNA from 1 species
UACGUAGGGUGCAAGCGUUAAUCGGAAUUACUGGGCGUAAAGCGUGCGCAGGCGGUUUUGUAAGUCUGUCGUGAAAUCCCCGGGCUCAACCUGGGAAUUGCGAUGGAGACUGCAAGGCUAGAAUCUGGCAGAGGGGGGUAGAAUUCCACGUGUAGCAGUGAAAUGCGUAGAGAUGUGGAGGAACACCGAUGGCGAAGGCAGCCCCCUGGGUCAAGACUGACGCUCAGGCACGAAAGCGUGGGGAGCAAACAGG